UGUUGCGGACCCGAUCGCUGGACGAGUUCCACGGGGAAACACGAGCCCUGGGCUCCGAGGUUCCGGCACCAGGGUGGUGUCCUAAUCCAGGUCACCCCGCGUCUAACUCUCCCCUCCUUCCAUCUUCUUAGCUUGAUCUGGCUUACUGCAUCGGCGGAGAAACCUAUUAUUGGGGUACAGAAGCCUUUCAUGUUGGUGCCAGAAGCCCGGGAGUUGAGCCAUCCUCUCUGGGAGGACCCAGUUCCCAGCCACGUCGGAGGCCACUCUUCAGAUGGGAUCAACUUCUGCCUUCCUAUUUUUGACUCUGUAUCGUUUGGAAGCAAAGACCCGUCUUCUAUGGUCACAUUGUUCUAAUCUUCGGUCUCUGGCACAGGCUUGCAAAUGGGCAGCUGCUGGUCUAAACCCGAUCCUCAGACACCCCUGGGGUGUCUGCUGCAAAAUUUAUCCAAAUUGGAGCUGUUUAACACCAUAUGCCCAGAAGGCUGACGUCCUUUUUGCUGUAUGGCCUGGCCUCAGCACACUCUUGAUAGCCAGUCAAGAUGGCCACCAGAGGGAACUCUUGACUUUAACAUCCUCCAUGAUCUUGAGACUUUCUGUCUGCGAAUGGACAAAAGGUCUGAGCUCCCUUACAUCCAGGGUUUGUGCUCUUGCCCUUCCCUCUGUAGUCAGUGCCCGACGGCCUAGGUUUUGGCUAGGGUUGCAGCUCCUCCAGGCCCCCGUUUAUCUGGGGACUUGGACCCUGACCACGCUCCACCCUGACCCUGACACAUGCACUGGCAUCUCCACCCCUAACCCUACCACCCUUCCCCCUUCGACACUGCUACAUGCUCCAUUCAGUGGCCAAGAGCCAACCUUCUUCCCUUUACCUACCCUUUCCUCCAUUCUACCCCCUCUGGGACAAAUUCUUUCCUUUAUCCACCCCUUCCCCCUUCUUCCUCCUCUAGGACAAAGGUCGAGGGCCAACUUCCUUCCCCUUACCCACCUUCCUCCCCCUCUCUCCUCCUUCCCUAUCCCCUCCCCAUUCUUCAAUGACAUAACCUGCAUCCUGGUCCCCACCACACACUGGCCCACUCGCCCUGAAUCCUCCCCGGUGCCUUCCCAUACUCAGUCUCGGCAGACCCCUGCCCUCCUCUGUCCCCUCUAGGAGGUGGCUGGAACUGAGAGAAUUGUUCAAGUCCAUGUCCUUUUCUCUCUUCAGGACCUCUCACAGAUAGGAAAGUGGUUGGGUUCCAUCUCUGCUAAUCCUUCUGUCUAUAUCAAGGAGUUCUGUUAUCUUUCCCAGCCUAUGACCUGACCUGGUAUGACCUCUAUGUCAUCCAGGUCUUCACUUCUCACUCCAGAGGAGCAAGGUCAGAUUCAGGUAGCAGCUAGACAAUAUGCAGACCAAACCCACCUAGUGGACAGUACGGCCCCUGAGGGUGACCUGGAGGUGCCAGCUGCAGAACCCUACUGGAGUUAUGAGCCAGGUCAAAAUGGCCGCCAGAGGAGGGACCUCUUGGUCCUCCACCUCCUUCAGGAUAUGGAGAUGCUCUCAAACAAAGUUGUUAAUUUUGAUAAGCUCCAAGAGAUUACACAGCAAGCCGACGAAAAUCCAGCCAUUUUUCUAAAUCGGCUUAAAGAGACUGGUUCAAUAUACCCACCCUGACCCAUCCUCCUUAGUGGGAGCCACAGUCCCGGCCAUCUAUUUCAUUUUAUCACCAGAUAUUAGAAAAAUUUUUAAAAGGCUGAGGAAGGUCCCCCCCCAAUACAGGAGUUGGUGAAAACGGCUUUUAAGAUUUAUAAUGCCCGAGAGGAGGCAGCAGAGUCUUCCCAACAGGCUCGGCAGCAACAGAAGGCUACGCUCCACGCUCACACCUUGGCAGUUGCCCUGAGGCCAUCGGCACCCCCACAAGGGGGACAAGGAAAGUCCACAGGGCCACAUACCACUGGAGUACAGCCAAAGCCAACUCCACCAGGGGCCUGCUUCAAAUGUGGCCAGGAAGACCACUGGUCCCAGUGCUACCCUGACCUUCAGCCUCCAACAAGGCCAUGCCCCCAUCUGCCAGCAGCCUGGCCACUGGAAAUCAAAAUGCCCCAUGGGGGCUCGUCCUCUAUGCCAUGCCAUGGAGGUCCAGCCUCACCAGCACAGGCAUCUGAGACUCUUCCAGCCUCUGAGCUACUCAACUUGAUAGAGGACUGAUGCCACCCAGACUUGGAGGCUCCCAUCACACUUGCCAAGCCUAGGGUAAUGCUCCAGGUAGCAGAUAAGUCCAUCACCCUCCUGGUGGACAGGGGAGCUACCUAUUCUGUCAUGACCUCUCACUCAGGUACCACAGUUAACUCACCAAUUUCUGUCAAAGGGGGUGGAUGGGAUCCCCUCCUUUCCACUGAAGACCCUGCCAUUUCCCUGCAUUCUUGCAGGGCAAUUCUUCUCACCCUUUUCUAGCCAUACCUGUUUGUCUGUGAUAUCCUCAGCUGCUUUGGGGCGACCCUCACCUUGGCCCACACACUCUUCUCCUGACUCUCAUCUUCCCUUAAUUUCCUCAUAGGUCCUGUCCUGUCCCUGCCCUCCCGUAUCCAGUCCACCCCCAAGCAUGGGAUAUCUCCACCUCAGUGGUUACUACCACCACCAGCCAGUCCUAGUUUGCCUUAAGGACCCCUCCUCCUUCCCUUCCAGACCCCAGUUUCCUAUUUCUGAAACCCAUCACUGAGGCCUCAAACCCAUUAUUACUUGACUUUUAUCUCAGGGACUUUUAAUUCCUAUCAACUUGCCCUGCAACACUCCCAUUCUCGCCAAGCGUGAGCCCUUGCUUACAGUUUAGUUCAGGACCUCCGCCUCAUUAAUGAAGCAGUUAUUUCAACCCACCCAGUGGUCAACAACCCAUACACCCUUGUUUCUAACAUUCCUCCUACAACUUCCCACUUUACCGGCCUGGACCCAAAAGAUGCCUUUUUUACGGUCCCUCUACACCCUGACUCAUAUUUUCUCUUUGCCUUCACCUGGAGGACCCUCCAGACAGCUUACAUGGACAGUUCUUCCUCAGGGUUUCCAGGACAGCCCCCAUUACUUUGGCCAAGCCUUGGCCCUUGGGAUCUUUCCACCAUUGACCCCAGUCCUAGCACACUCCUCCAGUAGGUAGAUGACCUUCUUCUCUGUAGUCCUUUCAUGUUCCUCACUACCUCGUCUCCCUGGGAUACUGUGUUUCCCCACCUAAGGCUCAGCUCUGCUCUCCCACUGUUGUGUAUCUGCGAGUUCGGCUCAGCCCAGGUUCUAAACACCACCCCUUCAGUGGCCAGGCUCCUGGGACAUGAGUGCUGGUACCACCUCUCCAGGCUCAAGCUGGCGCCUAUGAAGGAUAAAUGGUCUGUCCAGCACCUGGGACCCUCCACCCUCCGGUUUUCCAAAACGUCCCAAUGAAAGGCCUAUCUGCUCUUG